CCUACGGGCGGCAGCAGUGAGGAAUAUUGGUCAAUGGACGAGAGUCUGAACCAGCCAAGUAGCGUGAAGGAUGACUGCCCUAUGGGUUGUAAACUUCUUUUAUAUGGGAAUAAAAUGUUACACGUGUGGGAUUUUGUAUGUACCAUAUGAAUAAGGAUCGGCUAACUCCGUGCCAGCAGCCGCGGUAAUACGGAGGAUCCGAGCGUUAUCCGGAUUUAUUGGGUUUAAAGGGAGCGUAGGUGGAUUGUUAAGUCAGUUGUGAAAGUUUGCGGCUCAACCGUAAAAUUGCAGUUGAAACUGGCAGUCUUGAGUACAGUAGAGGUGGGCGGAAUUCGUGGUGUAGCGGUGAAAUGCUUAGAUAUCACGAAGAACUCCGAUUGCGAAGGCAGUUCACUGGACUGCAACUGACACUGAGGCUCGAAAGUGUGGGUAUCAAACAGGAUUAGAUACCCGGGUAGUC
rnacentral:rRNA from 1 species